GUUGAUCGCUGCGGCGUCUUACACACUGCAGUGAACGAGGUCAUCCGAUCUUCGGAUUGGUGAAGACUAGUGGCGAACGGGUGCGUAACACGUGAGAAACCUGCCCCGGUCUCUGGGAUAACAGUUGGAAACGACUGCUAAUACCGGAUGCCGUCGGACCGUCGCAUGGCGGACCGACGAAAGGGUUACCGGAUCGGGAGGGUCUCGCGGCCUAUCAGCUUGUUGGUGAGGUAACGGCUCACCAAGGCAUCGACGGGUAGCUGGUCUGAGAGGAUGAUCAGCCACACUGGCACUGAGACACGGGCCAGACUCCUACGGGAGGCAGCAGUGAGGAAUAUUGCACAAUGGAGGAAACUCUGAUGCAGCAACGCCGCGUGGAGGAUGACGCAUUUCGGUGUGUAAACUCCUUUUAUAUAGGAAGAUAAUGACGGUACUAUAUGAAUAAGCACCGGCUAACUUCGUGCCAGCAGCCGCGGUAAUACGAAGGGACCUAGCGUAGUUCGGAAUUACUGGGCUUAAAGAGUUCGUAGGUGGUUGAAAAAGUUAGUGGUGAAAUCCCAGAGCUUAACUCUGGAACUGCCAUCAAAACUUUUCAGCUAGAGUAUGAUAGAGGAAAGCAGAAUUUCUAGUGUAGAGGUGAAAUUCGUAGAUAUUAGAAAGAAUACCAAUUGCGAAGGCAGCUUUCUGGAUCAUUACUGACACUGAGGAACGAAAGCAUGGGUAGCGAAGAGGAUUAG
rnacentral:rRNA from 1 species